UACGUAGGUGGCAAGCGUUGUCCGGAUUUAUUGGGUUUAAAGGGUGCGUAGGCGGCUUUGUAAGUCAGUGGUGAAAUACUCUAGCUUAACUAGAGGGGUGCCAUUGAUACUGCGGAGCUUGAGUACAGAUGAGGUAGGCGGAAUUGACGGUGUAGCGGUGAAAUGCAUAGAUAUCGUCAAGAACACCGAUAGCGAAGGCAGCUUACUGGGCUGUAACUGGCGCUGAUGCACGAAAGUGUGGGGAUCAAACAGG
rnacentral:rRNA from 1 species